rnacentral:rRNA from 1 species
UACGGAGGGUGCAAACGUUGUUCGGAAUUACUGGGCGUAAAGCGCGUGUAGGCUGCUCUGCAAGUCGGGUGUGAAAGCCCCGGGCUCAACCUGGGAAGUGCACUCGAAACUGCAGAGCUUGAGUUCUGGAGAGGAAGGCGGAAUUUCAGGUGUAGCGGUGAAAUGCGUAGAUAUCUGAAGGAACAUCAGUGGCGAAAGCGACUUCCUGGACCAAUACUGACGCUCAGGUGCGAAAGCGUGGGGAGCAAACAGG